rnacentral:rRNA from 1 species
AACGAACGCUGGCGGCAGGCUUAACACAUGCAAGUCGAGCGCCCCGCAAGGGGAGCGGCCGACGGGUGAGUAACGCGUGGGAACGUACCCUUAUCUUCGUGAUAGCUCCGGGAAACUGGAAUUAAUACCGAAUGUGCCCUUUGGGGGAAAGAUUUAUCGGAUAAGGAUCGGCCCGCGUUGGAUUAGCUAGUUGGUGGGGUAAAGGCCUACCAAGGCGACGAUCCAUAGCUGGUCUGAGAGGAUGAUCAGGCACAUUGGGACUGAGACACGGCCCAAACUCCUACGGGAGGCAGCAGUGGGGAAUAUUGGACACUGGGCGCAAGCCUGAUCCAGCCAUGCCGCGUGAGUGAUGAAGGCCUUAGGGUUGUAAAGCUCUUUCACCGGAGAAGAUAAUGACGGUAUCCGGAGAAGAAGCCCCGGCUAACUUCGUG